rnacentral:rRNA from 1 species
GAUGAACGCUGGCGGCGUGCCUAAUACAUGCCAGUCGAGCGAGCAGACGAGGAGCUUGCUCCUCUGACGUUAGCGGCGGACGGGUGAGUAACACGUGGAUAACCUUCCUAUAAGACUGGGAUAACUUCGGGAAACCGGAGCUAAUACCGGAUAAUAUAUUGAACCGCAUGGUUCAAUAGUGAAAGACGGUUUUGCUGUCACUUAUAGAUGGAUCCGCGCCGCAUUAGCUAGUUGGUAAGGUAACGGCUUACCAAGGCGACGAUGCGUAGCCGACCUGAGAGGGUGAUCGGCCACACUGGAACUGAGACACGGUCCAGACUCCUACGGGAGGCAGCAGUAGGGAAUCUUCCGCAAUGGGCGAAAGCCUGACGGAGCAACGCCGCGUGAGUGAUGAAGGUCUUCGGAUCGUAAAACUCUGUUAUUAGGGAAGAACAAAUGUGUAAGUAACUAUGCACGUCUUGACGGUACCUAAUCAGAAAGCCACGGCUAACUACGUG